GACGAACGCUGGCGGCGUGCCUAAUACAUGCAAGUCGAACGAGAGCGACCGGUGCUUGCACUGGUCAAUCUAGUGGCGAACGGGUGAGUAACGCGUGGGUAACCUGCCCAUCAGAGGGGGAUAACAUCCGGAAACGGAUGCUAAAACCGCAUAGGUCUUCGAGCCGCAUGGCUCGAUGAGGAAAAGAGGCGCAAGCUUCUGCUGAUGGUUGGACCCGCGGUGCAUUAGCUAGUUGGUGAGGUAACGGCUCACCAAGGCCGUGAUGCAUAGCCGACCUGAGAGGGUGAUCGGCCACAUUGGGACUGAGACACGGCCCAAACUCCUACGGGAGGCAGCAGUAGGGAAUCUUCCGCAAUGGACGCAAGUCUGACGGAGCAACGCCGCGUGAGUGAAGAAGGUUUUCGGAUCGUAAAACUCUGUUGUUAGAGAAGAACAAGUGCUAGAGUAACUGUUAGCGCCUUGACGGUAUCUAACCAGAAAGCCACGGCUAACUACGUG
rnacentral:rRNA from 1 species